CUGAUCUUCAGCGGAGGGCUCAACAGCUUUCCGUUGAGUUUAUUUCACCGAUGGAGUUAACUAGUAAAUCCGCUGGCCUGAUUGGGUGGCACCGUACAAGUGGACAAAGGCUGCCGAUUCCGCAUAUUGUACCUGAGAAGGUUCCAAAUUUUUCCCAACAUCGGGAAAACGGAUAACGUAGCAGUCGGUUCGACCAGAUAUAGUCGUCAAGACAUCAGCGUCGGUUCCUGUAAUUUGAACAUAUUACCAGGUCCUUUUGCAUCAAAAAUGGCGAAUCCUAAUGUCUAUCAAUGGAGAGUUUCGCUAUUGACUGACUGGACUUUAAUCGUCUUUGGGAUCAGGAGCGGGACCUUUGGUGACCAUUUUCAUGCACGACGACUCUUCGUGCUUGUAAAGAUAGGAUUUGAGAGCGAAAGCUUUGCCGCAACGUUGGCACGUGAACGGCUUCAAAUUGGAAUGAGUCUGGAUGUGGGCUCGUAGGUUGGAUUUGUCAGCAAACGCUUUCUCACAGAUUUGACAGCCAUGGCCUGGAAAAUGAUUUACCGCAGUAAGGACACUUGCAACCCUGGCUGUGAGUGCGGACGUGCAUUGAGAAAGCCGGAACUGAAACGUAAACUUUGUCGCAAUGAGGACAGCGUCUCGCCUAAAAACCAAAAUCAGUAAUGAUUAGAAUGUUGGAAGAAGUGCUGUAGCGCUUGCCACAAUCGGGACAUUCAUGUCCGUCUGGCCCUGUGUGACUAUCGCCACUGUUGCUGCUAUUGCUAGCACUUGGCCCUUUCACAACGACAGACACGGACUUGCACGAAGUGACAUCAUCAGGCGACCAGCAAGAAUCUGUGGCAUCCAAUUCAUCGACAUCUUCGUCAUCGUCUUCGUCGUCUUCAGCUUCGGAUGAAGCGGCCCUGCUGGAUUGCGGUGAUUUCUUGCGCAGGCCGAGAUUAAUGGUGAGAUGAGUCUCGGAAGGCGUUGGCGAUGGUGACGGUGUUAAAAUGCGGACUUCGCUCGACGUGGCGGUUGUUGCUGGAUCGCGGCUCAAAUCCAGCGGUUUAUCCAGCACCGGCGUUGAAUGACUGGAGCAGCUGGACAUGUCCAGCAUUUUGACAACUGGGCUUUUCAAAGCUCGUGCCAUCACCAAGCCUUGCUGUUGAUGGCGCCAGCGUUCCAGCACAGAACGGAAUUCGCUCCCGCCUGAAGUAGCCAGACUGACUUCAGCUAACUGGAACAAGUUGUACAUCUCUUCGGGAAUCGUAGUGCCGUGGUGCUGGAGGCGGCCAUCCGGUGUCAUAAUACUACCACUUCCGAUGACGGGUGAAAUGCGGGCGGAUUGCGGUCGUCCAGGUGAUUUUAGCUCGGCUACAGUUCCUUGGCCAGGCGACAGAGGGAACGCCGGAUAGUUUUGCGGGUUGCUGUUUGCCUUCCUAUGUUGUUGCUGAAUGUAACGUUGUGGUUGCUGGACUGGUUUGACCACGGACACAACAGCAGCAACGUCAUCUUUACCAUUCCGGAGCGAUGAUGCAAUCGAUGCUGCCUCUUCUGUCGUUAAAAAAAUCAACAAAUUGAGUGACGAUUGAUUGCAAGCAUGUCGCCGCAAAAUCAGUUUCAAACUUCCAAUCCGGAAUUUGGACAUUGGAUUCCGAAGAAUCGACGACAGUCGAGUCUUGAAAAAAAAUCCCUCUCUCUCUCUCUCGCUGUCUUGCUCGUAUACGUCAGCAGGAAGGAACCUGGAACGCAACGCAAGAGAGGAACAAGUUUCCCCUCAUAUACACACAUCCACCCUAUUUGCCUGUGUGCUGUAUAGCUUUUUUCGGUUGAUCCAGGCAAGACAUCUGCGCCGGAUCUUGAAAGAAGCGUGUGUGUGUAUUUUCACCGUAACACGAGCCACCCCCCCUAUUGCUGCUCUCAGGGAAAAGGAAAGAUCAAAGUCACCCCUUUUUCGCACUGAAGAAAAACUCGUACAUUACCCAAUGCGAGUGUAAUAGCGAAGUGUGCACAGUUACGCAGGAUGUUAUGACAGCGAAAAUGUAUGGAGGGCUUCGUGACUUAUAAGGUCGGAGUGAAGCAAACGAAAAUGAAUUGGAAAAUUCAAUUUGAAGUUCACUGCAGCCAGCAACAACGGCAUCGAUCUCCUGGAGCUUCCAUCUAUUUAAGCAAACCAGGAAAACCAAACUUCCCAAAUCAUAUGGUCUAACAAUGCCACGAAGGAUCAAGCCUCUUUUUCAAGGCUAAACAUUUAAGAGAUGCACUAGCCUGCCUUGAUGUCUAAUAUUAGAUGGGGUUCAAGAAAAAUAUAACGGAAUGAUGAUAAGAAAUAAUGGCGUUCCGUCCGUAGGAGUUUUCGAAGACACGCGCGACGUCACCAUAUGCUGCGGAUGGAAACGGGUGGCAGUGAGGAGGAGCCUUGAAAAGAACUACAGGGAUGGCUGCCAAGUUCCAAAAAAGAACAACAAAAAUCAUCAAGGGGAAACUGAACUGAUGAGCGGAGCAUAAAGUUCUUCGCAAGGGAGUAGAUGAACAUUCCAAGCGAGCCUUCAGUAAAGGAAUUCUACGAAAAUAAUAAAAAGCCGCCACUUCCGCACGAGCACGCACCGACCUCCGCACUCCGUCUGUGGGCUCUCCAAAAACAGAACUCCCUCUUCUUUUUUUUUUUCUUUUUUUUUUAAUGAAUGGAAAUCUACUUUGCACUAUAAGAUGUAUACGUACAACUGUCACAACCCUUUCUUCCCCCCCUCGAGCCACCGAAACCUGGAGCAUUGUCUUUAUAUUCAGCCGCCGCACGCGCAACUGUUUUCAAACGAGAAUAGCUGCUGUUUGCAGAAAUGGAAACCGCGUGUCAAAGA